rnacentral:Y_RNA from 1 species
GGCUGGUCCGAAGGUAGUGAAUUAUCUCACUUGAUUGUUCACAGUCAGUUACAGAUUGAACUCCUUGUUCUACUACUUCCUCCUCUCCUCACUACUACACUUGAGUAGUCUUUA